rnacentral:rRNA from 1 species
UACAGAGGGGGCAAGCGUUGUUCGGAAUUACUGGGCGUAAAGGGCGCGUAGGCGGCCUGCUAAGUCGAACGUGAAAUCCCUGGGCUCAACCCAGGAACUGCGUCCGAUACUGGUUGGCUUGAAUCCGGGAGAGGGACGUGGAAUUCCAGGUGUAGCGGUGAAAUGCGUAGAGAUUGGGAAGAACACCAGUGGCGAAGGCGGCUAUCUGGACGGUUUCUGACACUAAGACUCGAAAGCAUGGGGAGCAAACAGG